UACGUAGGGGGCAAGCGUUGUCCGGAAUCAUUGGGCGUAAAGAGCGUGUAGGCGGCCAGGUAGGUCUGGUGUGAAAACUCGAGGCUUAACCUCGAGAUGUCAUCGGAAACCAUCUGGCUAGAGUCCGGAAGAGGAGAGUGGAAUUCCUGGUGUAGCGGUGAAAUGCGCAAAUAUCAGGAAGAACACCAAUGGCGAAAGCAGCUCUCUGGGACGGUACUGACGCUGAGACGCGAAAGCGUGGGGAGCGAACAGG
rnacentral:rRNA from 1 species